rnacentral:rRNA from 1 species
AUUGAACGCUGGCGGCAGGCUUAACACAUGCAAGUAGAACGAGUGGCGGACGGGUGUGUAAUGCUUGGGAAUCUAGUUUAUGGAGGGUGAUAACUACGGGCAACUGUAGCUAAUACCGCCUACCAUCGGAUGAGCCCAUUUGGGAUUAGGUUGUGGGUGAGGUAAAGGCUCACCAAGCCGACGAUCUCUAGCUGGUCUGAGAGGAUGACCGGCCACACUGGGACUGAGACACGGACCAGACUCCUACGGGAGGCAGCAGUGGGGAAUAUUGCGCAAUGGGGGCAACCUGACGCAGCCAGGCCGCGUGAAUGAAGAAGGCCUUCGGGUUGUAAAGUUCUUUCGGUAGCGAGGCGUUAACUACGGAAGAAGCACCGGCUAACUCCGUGCCAGCAGCCGCGGUAAUUC